rnacentral:rRNA from 1 species
UAGGGAAUCUUCCGCAAUGGGCGAAAGCCUGACGGAGCAACGCCGCGUGAGUGAUGAAGGUCUUCGGAUCGUAAAACUCUGUUAUUAGGGAAGAACAAAUGUGUAAGUAACUAUGCACGUCUUGACGGUACCUAAUCAGAAAGCCACGGCUAACUACGUGCCAGCAGCCGCGGUAAUACGUAGGUGGCAAGCGUUAUCCGGAAUUAUUGGGCGUAAAGCGCGCGUAGGCGGUUUUUUAAGUCUGAUGUGAAAGCCCACGGCUCAACCGUGGAGGGUCAUUGGAAACUGGAAAACUUGAGUGCAGAAGAGGAAAGUGGAAUUCCAUGUGUAGCGGUGAAAUGCGCAGAGAUAUGGAGGAACACCAGUAGCGAAGGCGACUUUCUGGUCUGCAACUGACGCUGAUGUGCGAAAGCGGGGGGAUCAAACAGG